AGAUAAGGAGCUUGCUCCUUUGACGUUAGCGGCGGACGGGUGAGUAACACGUGGGUAACCUACCUAUAAGACUGGGAUAACUUCGGGAAACCGGAGCUAAUACCGGAUAACAUUUGGAACCGCAUGGUUCUAAAGUGAAAGAUGGUUUUGCUAUCACUUAUAGAUGGACCCGCGCCGUAUUAGCUAGUUGGUAAGGUAACGGCUUACCAAGGCGACGAUACGUAGCCGACCUGAGAGGGUGAUCGGCCACACUGGAACUGAGACACGGUCCAGACUCCUACGGGAGGCAGCAGUAGGGAAUCUUCCGCAAUGGGCGAAAGCCUGACGGAGCAACGCCGCGUGAGUGAUGAAGGGUUUCGGCUCGUAAAACUCUGUUAUUAGGGAAGAACAAACGUGUAAGUAACUGUGCACGUCUUGACGGUACCUAAUCAGAAAGCCACGGCUAACUACGUGCCAGCAGCCGCGGUAAUACGUAGGUGGCAAGCGUUAUCCGGAAUUAUUGGGCGU
rnacentral:rRNA from 1 species